CCGAAAGGGUGACGAAGCGACGCCGCGUGGGUGAGGAAGGCCUUCGGGUUGUAAAGCCCUGUCAGGAGUUAAGAAAUGUAAGUGCGCUAAUAUCGCAUUUAUUUGACGAAGGCUCCAAAGGAAGUCACGGCUAACUCUGUGCCAGCAGCCGCGGUAAUACAGAGGUGGCAAGCGUUGUUCGGAAUUAUUGGGCGUAAAGAGCACGUAGGUGGGUUUGUAAGUCAGAUGUGAAAGCCUUCUGUUCAACGGAAGAAUUGCAUCUGAAACUGCGAGUCUUGAGUGUAGGAGGGGAGAAUGGAACUUCUGGUGGAGCGGUGAAAUGCGUAGAUAUCAGAAGGAACGCCGGCGGCGAAAGCGAUUCUCUGGCCUAUUACUGACACUCAGUGUGCGAA
rnacentral:rRNA from 1 species